GAUGAACGCUGGCGGCGUGCUUAACACAUGCAAGUCGAACGAAGCACGGAUACGGAAGUUUUUCGGAACGGAAGUGCCCGUGACUGAGUGGCGGACGGGUGAGUAACGCGUGGGCAACCUGCCCCGUACCGGGGGAUAACAGCCGGAAACGGCUGCUAAUACCGCAUACGUUCCGGAAACCGCAUGGUUUCCGGAAGAAAACUCCGGUGGUACGGGAUGGGCCCGCGUCUGAUUAGCUCGUUGGCGGGGUAAUGGCCCACCAAGGCGACGAUCAGCAGCCGGCCUGAGAGGGCGGCCGGCCACAUUGGGACUGAGACACGGCCCAG
rnacentral:rRNA from 1 species